rnacentral:rRNA from 1 species
GACCCUGACUGCCAAAGAUUUAUCGCUCUGAGAUGGCCUCGCGUCUGAUUAGCUAGUAGGCGGGGUAACGGCCCACCUAGGCGACGAUCAGUAGCCGGACUGAGAGGUUGACCGGCCACAUUGGGACUGAGACACGGCCCAGACUCCUACGGGAGGCAGCAGUGGGGAAUAUUGGGCAAUGGGCGCAAGCCUGACCCAGCAACGCCGCGUGAAGGAUGAAGGCUUUCGGGUUGUAAACUUCUUUAUUCGGGGUCGACGCGGCCGAUAUUGUUGAGGGUGAUAGCUUCCCCACGGCGAUCGCCCACUGCCCGUCUCAGGGGAAGGGACUGGUUGUAAUACUCUUUU